AGUUUGAUCCUGGCUCAGAUUGAACGCUGGCGGGAUGUUUACAUACAUGCAAGUCGAACGGCAGCACGGACUUCGGUCUGGUGGCGAGUGGCGAACGGGUGAGUAAUGUAUCGGAACGUGCCUAGUAGCGGGGAUAACUACGCGAAAGCGUAGUAGCUAAUACUCGCACACCUUCGGGGAAAGCGGGGACCUUCGGGCCUCGCACUAGGAGCGGCCGAUAUCGGAUUAGCUAGUUCGGUGGGGUAACGGGCUCACCGCGACGAUCUGUAGCUGGUUUGAGAGGACAUCUUCAGCCACACUGGGACUGAGACACGGCCCAGACUCCUACGGGAGGGCAGGGGGGAAUUCUGGACAAUGGGGGAAACCCUGAUCCAGCCAUCCUCCGCGUGUGCGAUGAAGGUGCCUCUGGGUUGUAAAGACUUUGGCAGGAAGAAACGGCACGGGAUAAUACUCCCGUGCAACUGACGGUACCUGCAGAAUAAGCACCGGCUAACUACGUGCCAGCAGCCGCGGUAAUGUGGUGGGUGCAAGUGUUAAUCGGAAUUACUGGGCGUAAAGCGUGCAGGCGGUUCGAAAGAAAGAUGUGAAAUCCCAGAGCUUAACUUUGGAACUGCAUUUUAAUCACUUUGAGCUAGAGGCUGAGGGAGGUGGAAUUUUGUGUAGCAGUGAAAUGCAGAUACGUGGAGGAACACCUCGAUGGCGAAGGCAGCCUCCCUGGACAACACUGACGCUCAUGCACGAAAGCGUGGGGGGAGCAAACAGGAUUAGAUACCCUGGUAGUCCACACCAAACGAUGUCAACUAGCUGUUGGGGCCUUCUGGCCUUGGUAGCGCAGCUAACGCGUGAAGUUGACCGCCUGUGGAGUACGGUCGCAAGAUUAAAACUCAAAGGAAUUGAUUUUGGGACCCGCACAAGCGGUGGAUGAUGUGGAUUAAUUGAUGCAACGCGAAAACCUUACCUACCCUUGACAUGUCUGGAAUCCUGAAGAGAUUUGGGAGUGCUCGCAGAGAACCGGAACACAGGUGCUGCAUGGCUGUCGUCAGCUCGUGUCGUGAGAUGUUGGGUUAAGUCCCGCAACGAGCGCAACCCUUGUCAUUAGUUGCUACGAAAGGGCACUCUAAUGAGACUGCCGGUGACAAACCGAGGAAGGUGGGGAUGACGUCAAGUCCUCAUGGCCCUUAUGGGUAGGGCUUCACAUCGUCAUACAAUGGUCGGGACAGAGGGUCGCCAACCCGCGCGAGGGGGAGCCAAUCCCAGAAACCCGAUCGUAGUCCGGAUCGCAGUCUGCAACUCGACUGCGUGAAGUCGGAAUCGCUAGUAAUCGCGGAUCAGCACGUCGCGGUGAAUACGUUCCCGGGUCUUGUACACACCGCACGUCACACCAUGGGAGUGGGUUUUACCAGAAGUGUUAGCCUAACCGUAAGGAGGGCGAUUACCACGGUAGGAUUCAUGACUGGGGUGAAGUCGUAACAAGGUAACUCUGUUAGCCACCCACGCCCCCCAGAUAACACGUAAUC
rnacentral:rRNA from 1 species